rnacentral:tRNA from 1 species
GGGGAUAUAGCUCAAUUGGUAGAGUGCUUACUUUAUAUGCACAAGGCCCUGGGUUCUAAUCCCCAGCACCACCA